ACGUAUUUUGAACUCUUUCAAGAAACCCAUUUUUCAAUCUAACUCUGUUCUUUAGCGCGCUACUUCAGGCAAUGAAUGGCAAUGGUGAUUUGAGGUUUCAUCGAAGUUUGAUUGGAAAAAGAGGUUGAUUUUGGGUUUGUGCGAAGUUUGAUUUUGGGCUUCACGAAAUCCUUUCUCUAAACCCCAUUUUGUCAAACGAUACCCUUCAACUUGCUGUGACGACACCAUUCGCUCACUGAAAAACGAAGCUCUCUUCGCUCACUCUCACUUCACCGAAACAGUUACGACAACGAAGCUGAGAGGAAACUAUCGCAGUGACGACGAAGCUGAGAGAAACCAUUUCGCAGUGACGAUAACGAAGCUGAGAGGAAACCAUUUCGUGACGACAUUGGUCCAAACAAAUUGUAUUGAUUAAAUCUCCAUCUUCUUUCAACCAACCCCUGCAUCUUUAGCAUCACAUUUUAAGAUUAGUAUUGUUGUUUUACUUCAGCUUGGUACUGCUAUUGUACUUAAGGAUGCAGGAUGGCUGAAGAUACUUCUAGUAGCUUAUUUUUUCGGUUCAUUUCUCAACCAUAAUCUGUUCUUGGCAAUCCAUGAGCUCAGCCACAAUCUCGCUUCUCAUCUCCAGCAUACAACCGUUGGCUCGGGAUUUUCGCUAACCUCCCUAUCGGUGUGUGGAGCAAUAACAGCAGCAGGAUUAAUGGCAGCACAUGGUAACAAGAAUAGUUGUAAGAAGUAUGGGAUUAUUACCCUCACUGACUGCCGGUCGACGCUUGACCCACCGCUCUCAACUCACCAAUUUGACUUUCAUGGACGCUGACCUGAACCAAGAUGGCAAAAUAAACAUGGUCGAGUGGCGAAAAUUUGUACCUUAUGUUUGGUGCUUUAUGGAAAUUCCUUUUCCGGGUCUGUUCCAAAUGAGAUUCAGAAUCUUAAGUACCUUCAAACUCUUGAUUUGUCUCAGAAUUUCUUUAACGGGUCAUUUCCUGAUUCAGUUCUUGAAUGUAAGAGACUUAAAGCUCUUGUUUUGAGUAGGAACAAUUUUACUGGCUUUUUUCCUAAUGGAUUUGGUGCUGGUUUGUCUUCUCUUGAAAAGCUUGAUCUUUCUUUCAAUGAUUUUCAUGGUUUGAUUCCUAGUGACAUUGGAAAAUUGUCGAGUUUGCAAGGAAAUCUUGAUUUGUCUCAUAAUCAUUUUAGUGGUUCAAUUCCGACUAGUCUUGGAAAUUUGCCUGAAAAUGUUUAUAUAUACCUCAUUUUGAAUGCUAGUUCUGUACGGGCUUUCAUUUGUUGAUUAUGUAUAAAGGAAAAUUGUAUUCAUCAUGUAGUAUCUCUCUUUACACAUGAGUGUUUUGAAUUUGAUAGGGUGUAAAGGUUUAGGAUCUCAUGUAUUGCACUGGUUGUAAACUUCAACCGGCGCAAAGGAAACAUCUAUUAAGAAAGUUGUGGCAAACUUCUCUCGAAAUCGAAGGUAAUUAGAUCUGCUUGUGGCCCUUUAUUCCUCGUUGUACAUGUUGCUUCAGGGUUAUCUUUCAAUCGCUUUUAAUUUGAAUUAAUGAUUUUAUGAAACAUUAGACAUGGCGUUUUUUGUAGCGAGACAUCAAAAUAUGUGGGAAGAAAAACCUUCUAACAUUUUGAAUCUUAUUAGUUGAGAUAACAAUAUAUUCAAUGACAAGGAGGUCUGAAAUGAAGGAAGUCAGAAUAUUUUGGACAGAAGUAUGUACAGACUUUAAAAAUCCAAUCCUAGAAAUGAAUGGAGUUCCUUUCAAUAUGUAUUUGAUUCCCAUAUUUAAUUUUGAGGUUUUGGUGCUCUUUAAUUGGCAUGAUUUAUUUUUUAUUUUAUACAGAUUAUCUUCGGGAUCAACUCAGUGCAAAAAACACGGAAGUGAACUAUCUAAAAGAGCAUGCUUGCGAUCUUGAUUUGAAGUUCAAGGAGAUGGAAGAUUUACGAAAAGAAGUUUUCACCUUAAGGGAGGAACUGAAUAUCUCCAAUUCAAAGCAAUUUUCUUUGAUUCGUGAGCUAGAGACUAAAGAAGCGGAGUUAGAGCUAUCAGCAUUGUCCGUGGAGAAACUGGAUGAACCAUUUUCAUCCAUGGAGUCUCAGUUUGAAGUUGAAACUAUGAAGCUUGAUAUGAUGGCCUUGGAACAGGAUUUAUUUGAGACCAAGAAAGUUCAGGAUGAAACUCUAGAAGAAAAUAAUAGAAUGAGUAGAUUGAUUAAUGAGUUACAGGGUGCAUUGCAUGAAGCACAAGAUACUAUCGUCUAUUUGAAUGAAGAAAAUAAGGAAAUUAAAGAGAAGCUUGACGCUGCCAACAUGAAUACUAGAUUGUUUUCUCAAAAGGUUGAAGACUGGCUGGAAAGCAAGGACAGACUGCAAAUCAAGGAUCAGUCGAGAAGCAAAGCAGAGGACACAAGGUACAUAAAUUUUGUAAUAUGUUUGAUGAAUUAAAAUGUAAAAUUUGUGCAUUUAAGUAACUUUACAUAGGUUUUAUUGUGGUUUGGUAUUUACUCUUGCUGUUAAGAUGGCUUGACCUUCUAUUUGAUAAAUUAAGACACUGGAAUUGCCAGUUCUGCUACUUCAAAUGAAAAAACGGAAAUUGAGUCUUUUCCCUUUGUUAGGAGCUUUUGUUAGCUAUUGGUUUUUUCCCUUUGAUUUUUUAGCUCUGCUGCUGUUUUGGUUUAUGUUGCAGUAUGUCCAUUGUAAUCUAUUUUUUCCUCCUUUCGGGUAUACCUUGUGCUCGGAUGUGAGUGUUUUUAGUAUAUUUGGUUAUUUAAAAAAGAAAAACUGGAAAUUUGGUUUCUCAAUCUACUUUUCCUGCACUUUACCAUGAUAAAUUUCCAUUUUAACUCAAGUAAGCAAGUGAAUUAAGUUGAAAAGAAACGAAAUUGUACUUCAGGUAUGACUGUUGAAGUUGAAAAGAAAAGAACCGAGUGAAAUUGUACUAAUUCAAUGAAAGCUUGAUAUAUGUUUAAUGUUUAAUGAUAUUAUAAAUGUCAAUUUAAUUCCGUUAUAGUUAGAGUGAUAUGAGUGAUGGUUCCUUUUACUUAAGCAAUGUAUGUUAUUGUUGUUAAAUUAGAACAACACAUUAUAAGACUUAGCUGAAGAAAAAUAUCUAAAUUCUUUGGCAAGGGAAGAUUGAGAGAGACACUCUUUGGUGAGGGAAGUGUGUAGUAUGUGGCAUACUUGAGGGAUGACUCUUGCUGAAUUAUAAAACUCUAAUUCGACCAUACUUUGAAAUACAAGAAAUGAACUUUAAAUUAUUAUACUAAGUUCUGGCAACCAUAUGAGUUAACGUUUCAUUUUUAUGUAAAAGUAAAGUCCUAAAGCUCUAAUGUUUAAACUUGUUUGGGAAAAUCAUCACCCUUUCAAUCAACCUCUCACUCUUAAAUGACCUGAAGAGAUUAGGUUCAAGAUUAGGUUCCUUUCUCUAACUGUUAAAGAGAUUUUGGGUGAAGGUGACAACGCCAAGCUUGAAAUCCAGAUUAAGUUAGAUAAGGAAAAGAAAAUUCUAUCUAUUAGAGACAGAGGUAUUGGUAUGACAAAGGAGGAUUUGAUAAAGAAUUUGGGGACCAUAGCUAAAUCUGGAACUUCUG